rnacentral:rRNA from 1 species
CUUGUCCUACGGGGGGCAGCAGUAGGGAAUCUUCCACAAUGGGCGAAAGCCUGAUGGAGCAACGCCGCGUGGGUGAAGAAGGCCUUCGGAUCGUAAAACCCUGUUGUUAGAGAAGAAAGUGCGUGAGAGUAACUGUUCACGUUUCGACGGUAUCUAACCAGAAAGCCACGGCUAACUACGUGCCAGCAGCCGCGGUAAUACGUAGGUGGCAAGCGUUAUCCGGAUUUAUUGGGCGUAAAGGGAACGCAGUCGGUCUUUUAAGUAUGAUGUGAAAGCAUUCGGCUUAACCGGAGU